rnacentral:rRNA from 1 species
UAAGUUCUGCCAUUAAAGCUCCGACGCUUCGAGAGGGGCCUAUGUCCUAUCAGCUUGUUGGUAAGGUAAAAGCUUACCAAGGCAAUGACGGGUAGCGGGCGCGAGAGCGUGACCCGCCUCACUGGGACUGAGAACUGCCCAGACUCCUACGGGAGGCUGCAGUCAAGAAUCUUCCUCAAUGGGCGAAAGCCUGAAGGAGCGACACCGCGUGCAUGAAGAAGCCUUUCGAGGUGUAAAGUGCUUUUAUAUGUGACGAAACAAUGACGGUAGCAUAUGAAUAAGGGGCUGCUAACCUCGUGCCA